AAAAUGUAGGUUACACAGAAAGUCAGUCAGUUUUUUUUAGCUUAGCAGACUAUGAUACUGGUCAGUUACCUCAGCAUGCUAACGCUAAGCUAAUCUUUUUAACUUGCAUCUUUCAAGAUAUGACCAGAAAUUAUAUUGAGACCCCAUCUCCUGUGUUCAGCAUUCCAAAUGAAGUUCAGUAGGCAGGUGUUUAAAGAUGUAGACACACACACCGAUCACAUGCAUGUUGCCCAAGCUGGAGAAGGUCCCUGCUGCCACCUUGCGGAUGUGAUUAUCGUGGAUGCGGAGCUCCACAAGUGAUGCAGGCAGGUUGCGGGGGAUGGAGGUCAGUUGGUUGUGGGAAAUGUAGAGUUUCUGUAGCCGCUUCAGAGGCACGAAUGCCCGUGGGUGCACCCUGGAGAUCUGAUUACUCCUCAGUACCAGAGCCUUUUAAACACAUACACACACACACACACACACACACACACACAAAGAAUUUAGGUGAAAUACAAUGCAGCAACUACAAAUCUCUGUGUUAGGGUAGAAGUUUAAACUGUAAAAUGUAAACAUUUCUAAUAAAGUGGCCAGUGAGUGGAAGCACAAGGUAGAGUUAGGUGUUUCCAAUAUAGUAGCCAGAGAGUUUAAGCAAAAAGUAGAGGUUGGUGGUUCUAAUAAAGUGGCCUGUGAGUCUCUUACAUAGAGGUUGGUGAGGCCUUUGAAGUCUCCCUCUCUGAUCUCUGUGAUCCUGUUACACUGCAGGUCCAGCAGAAGUGUGUCUGAGGGGAUGUCAUACGGCACAUAGGUCAAACCUGCAAACACCACACACAGCACACACACACACAAAUUAACAAACAAAUACUGUAACUCUCACUGAUCCACGAUAAUAAGUACAUUUGAUUAUUUGUCUAGUUAACUAACAAUUGUUCAUCUGCUUAUUUGAUUCUUUGCUUUGUCAAACUACUCUUUGCCUGGUUAAAUGGAUACAUUUUCCCCUUUAUGAGUAUUUGCCUGCUUAAAUGGUCCUUUGCCUAGUUAAAUGAUUUCUGAUUUGGUUCAGUUUUUCGUUGCAUGUUUUUUGCCUGGGUAAAUUAACCAUUUCUUUGUUAAAAUAUUCUUUUGUUUAUUCCUUUGUUGCCUAGAUUAUUCUUUGCUCACAUAAAUGAUUCUUUGCUUGGUUAAAUGAUUAUUUGUCUGGGUAAAUGAGUCUCUGGGUGGGCUUUUUAAUUCAUUAUAUUGUAUAUUUGUUCUGCUGUGGUCUGUUUGUCAUCUAAUCCUGCGUGUGAGGGUGUGUAUGUUUGUGUUUGUGUAUGUGUGUGUGUGUGUGUGUGUGUGUGU